rnacentral:rRNA from 1 species
CCUACGGGGGGCAGCAGGCGCGAAAACUUUACAAUGCGGGAAACCGUGAUAAGGGGACACCGAGUGCCAGCAUCAUAUGCUGGCUGUCCGGAUGUGUAAAAUACAUCCGUUAGCAAGGGCCGGGCAAGACCGGUGCCAGCCGCCGCGGUAACACCGGCGGCCCGAGUGGUGAUCGUGAUUAUUGGGUCUAAAGGGUCCGUAGCCGGUUUGGUCAGUCCUCCGGGAAAUCUGAUAGCUCAACUAUUAGGCUUUCGGGGGAUACUGCCAGACUUGGAACCGGGAGAGGUAAGAGGUACUACAGGGGUAGGAGUGAAAUCUUGUAAUCCCUGUGGGACCACCUGUGGCGAAGGCGUCUUACCAGAACGGGUUCGACGGUGAGGGACGAAAGCUGGGGGCACGAACCGGAUUAGAUACCCUUGUAGUC